CCCUGCGUGCGUUGAGCGCCCAUGUGUUACAGCUAAUCCCAAUGGUAAGGAACAAUGCACGUACCCGCUGGUCAGUUAAUAAACUGGCGGUGUCUUAUCUGAUGAAGAAUCAUUUCACGCGUGCUGAAUUGCUGAUCACCGACAGGAUCAGUUAACUGGAUACGGAAGCUUUAUUAAUUUACUUGAAAAAAAAACAUCUGAAGACUGGAAGUGCGUGAACAAAACGCUCGGGAAUCUUUCAUGUCCGUGCUUGAUACAAGUAUUAGAGUACUCUAAUAGCUCUGGACUUCGUCGCGGCCGGCCAAUCUGAGCUUCAGAGAACUGAUCUGAAGUCUGCCCCUCCUAAAACAUGAGCUUCUUCAACCAGGAGAAUAGUCAUAUCGUGUUGCAAGCAGUAUCGGAUCCAAAGAUUUCAUCCUGUAUAAGCAGUUUAAUUGGGAAUUCAGCUACUCAUCAGUAAUAAAUACAUUUAUUGUCUUUCACUUGCUUUUCCGCCCCAAGCGAAGAAAUAGGCCAAUUUCUGAAGACCCAGCAGACAGGUCAGAGUCCAUUACAUAAACAAACCUAUCGAGAAAGAAUAAGAAUCCAUCAGCAGUAAUAUCUGUUGUGCUAGCAGGUAGCCUAGCAGUCAGCCAGUACAAUAGCAGUGCCCCAUUCAGCUUAGGCCCCGGCAGUGGCGGAGCUAGGAUUAAUUCCUAGGGGGGCAUUUUACCUUGUGACAAUCAACAUGUACACAAAUGUGUGUGCUACUUGUCCUUUUAUAUAAGUUGUGCUCUAUAAGUGUUCCAGUUUA